GCUUCCUUCGGGAAGUGGAUUAGCGGCGGACGGGUGAGUAACACGUGGGUAACCUGCCUCAAAGUGGGGGAUAGCCUUCCGAAAGGAAGAUUAAUACCGCAUAACAUAAGAGAAUCGCAUGAUUUUUUUAUCAAAGAUUUAUUGCUUUGAGAUGGACCCGCGGCGCAUUAGCUAGUUGGUAAGGUAACGGCUUACCAAGGCAACGAUGCGUAGCCGACCUGAGAGGGUGAUCGGCCACAUUGGAACUGAGACACGGUCCAGACUCCUACGGGAGGCAGCAGUGGGGAAUAUUGCGCAAUGGGGGAAACCCUGACGCAGCAACGCCGCGUGGGUGAUGAAGGUCUUCGGAUUGUAAAGCCCUGUUUUCUGGGACGAUAAUGACGGUACCAGAGGAGGAAGCCACGGCUAACUACGUGCCAGCAGCCGCGGUAAUACGUAGGUGGCGAGCGUUGUCCGGAUUUACUGGGCGUAAAGGGUGCGUAGGCGGAUGUUUAAGUGGGAUGUGAAAUCCCCGGGCUUAACCUGGGGGCUGCAUUCCAAACUGGAUAUCUAGAGUGCAGGAGAGGAAAGCGGAAUUCCUAGUGUAGCGGUGAAAUGCGUAGAGAUUAGGAAGAACACCAGUGGCGAAGGCGGCUUUCUGGACUGUAACUGACGCUGAGGCACGAAAGCGUGGGUAGCAAACAGGAUUAGAUACCCUGGUAGUCCACGCCGUAAACGAUGGAUACUA
rnacentral:rRNA from 1 species